rnacentral:rRNA from 1 species
UUAAAUUGAAGAGUUUGAUCAUGGCUCAGAUUGAACGCUGGCGGCAGGCCUAACACAUGCAAGUCGAACGGUAACAGGAAGCAGCUUGCUGCUUUGCUGACGAGUGGCGGACGGGUGAGUAAUGUCUGGGAAACUGCCUGGUGGAGGGGGAUAACUACUGGAAACGGUAGCUAAUACCGCAUAACGUCGCAAGACCAAAGAGGGGGACCUUCGGGCCUCUUGCCA